GCAUGGGGGUGCGGUGAAAGGAGCGAUCCGGCACGGGAUGGGCAUGCGGCGCAUUAGCUAGUCGGCGGGGUGACGGCCCACCGAGGCGACGAUGCGUAGGGGUUCUGAGAGGAAGGUCCCCCACACUGGUACUGAGACACGGACCAGACUCCUACGGGAGGCAGCAGUGAGGAAUAUUGGUCAAUGGACGGAGGUCUGAACCAGCCAAGUCGCGUGAGGGACGACGGCCCUACGGGUUGUAAACCUCUUUUGCGGGGGAGUAAAGUGAGCCACGCGUGGUUCAUUGCGAGUACCCCGAGAAAAAGCAUCGGCUAAUUCCGUGCCAGCAGCCGCGGUAAUACGGAAGAUGCGAGCGUUAUCCGGAUUUAUUGGGUUUAAAGGGUGCGCAGGCGGCAUGUCAAGUCAGCGGUCAAAGUUCCGGGCUCAACCCGGUGAUGCCGUUGAAACUGGCGCGCUUGAGUUCGUGGGAGGAAGGCGGAAUGCGCGGUGUAGCGGUGAAAUGCAUAGAUAUCACGCAGAACCCCGAUUGCGAAGGCAGCCUUCCAUCACGCCACUGACGCUGAGGCACGAAAGCGUGGGUAUCGAACAGGAUUAGAUACCCUGGUAGUCCACGCAGUAAACGAUGAUAACUAGUUUUCCGGCGCGAUUGGGCGUUGGGAGACCGAGCGAAAGCGUUAAGUUAUCCACCUGGGGAGUACGCCGGCAACGGUGAAACUCAAAGGAAUUGACGGGGGCCCGCACAAGCGGAGGAACAUGUGGUUUAAUUCGAUGAUACGCGAGGAACCUUACCCGGGCUCAAACGGCGAUGGACGCACCGUGAAAGCGGUGUUCCCUUCGGGGCUGUUGCCGAGGUGCUGCAUGGUUGUCGUCAGCUCGUGCCGUGAGGUGUCGGCUUAAGUGCCAUAACGAGCGCAACCCCCAUCUCCAGUUGCCACCGCGUCAAGGCGGGCACUCUGGAGAGACUGCCGGCGCAAGCUGCGAGGAAGGCGGGGAUGACGUCAAAUCAGCACGGCCCUUACGUCCGGGGCGACACACGUGUUACAAUGGCGGGGCACAGCGGGGCGCCACAUGGCGACAUGGAGCCGAUCCCGAAAACCCGUCUCAGUUCGGAUCGGAGUCUGCAACCCGACUCCGUGAAGCUGGAUUCGCUAGUAAUCG
rnacentral:rRNA from 1 species